GUGCUCAUAUACUUCAGCAGCACAUACACUAAAAUUGGAACGAUACAGAGAAGGUUAGCAUGGCCCCUGCGCAAGGAUGACAUGAAAAUUCGUGAAUCGUUCCAUAUUUUU
ensembl:snRNA U6 U6 spliceosomal RNA